GCCCAAGUACUGUCCCAAUACACAAGUUCGCAUUUCGCCAAGAACGGAUAAAAUUCCCGGAAGUGUUCUUGACACGCCCCUUUUACCGAGGAUGCAUCGGUCGGUAACUUGUGUGAACUUCUCAACACAAGUAUCCCAGCAUGCAUUUCGGCAGUCGGCGAACAGCGGGGAACCGGCGGACAAAAGCUUUACAUGAUGGCAGAAGGCAGGCAGACCCACAACUAUCCUGGAUGUCUCCUGUCAGCAGACAGAGAUUGUGCAGCAAGCAACAAUCACUUUGGGGGCAAAUAGAGGCCGGAUCUCCAAAGCCCGGAGGAAGAUGGCACUCCAGCGGGUUUUGAGCACCCGAAGGUUCCGCUCAAUCACGUUCCUGGCCUUGGCAAGGUGCCUGUUGAAUCUGCUUCAACUUGGCCUGUUGAUUAAAAUACAGGAUGGUGGUAUGGGGUCAUGAGGGUCACAGGAUGCUGCAGGCAAGGGUACCCCCGUCUCCAAGGAGGAAGCAGCAGCUGGUGGGUAGAGGGACUCCUUCUACAACUCCUUCACACCGAAGGGAAGAGCUUGCGGUUCAAAUAGCACUUCUUUUGUGGUUCAGCAGGUGGGAGGAUUCUGACAUGGCACCAUCUAUGCCACCAGCCGUACAGUGGAGCCCCCACCUCCUCCAUCUCUCCUGGCUUGGGGAAAUGGAUGGCCAUCAUCUCCUCCACUACACUGUGGACUAUUCUGCCAACUGUGGCUCCGUGUAUGGUGAAGAGUCUGCUGACACUCUGUAGGAGGUGCCUUCAUGCCAGCCAGCACAGAGACACAGCCACCUCCAUGUCAUGGCUCCAUCCAUGUGGCUGUUGCCGAGGCAACAUCUGGACCAGCACGUUGAUGGAUCUCUGGAGUCUAAAAUCUGGUUUCAGGUCGGCCUCAGAGAAGAACGUGCUGAGGAUCGGCACAUGGUUGUUUAUUUGCACGUACCUCCGAGGAUUUUGAUCCUGUUUAAAAAAAAAAAAAAGAAAUAUAUAUAUUCAAUAUCUAUUCAACUUAUUUAUUAAUUAUCAAUUAACAUCCCAAUAUUCAUUUAUUUAUUCGUCUUUAACUGUUUACUGUU